UACGGAGGGUGCAAGCGUUGUUCGGAAUUAUUGGGCGUAAAGCGCGCGCAGGCGGUCUGAAAAGUCUAUGGGUGAAAUGCCGGGGCUCAACCCCGUGCAUGCCCAGGAUACUGUCAGACUGGAGACACGGUAGAGGCAAGCGGAAUUCCGGGUGUAGCGGUGGAAUGCGUAGAGAUCCGGAAGAACACCGGAGGCGAAGGCGGCUUGCUGGGCGUGAUCGUGACGCUGAGGCGCGAAAGCGGUGGGGAGCGAACAGG
rnacentral:rRNA from 1 species